rnacentral:rRNA from 1 species
CAGCACCGAAUCUCGCAGGUUCACGCUGCCGAGAAAUGUGGUGUUUGGGAGGGUCAACUUUUCCCGGAGUCCUGCGGCGAGUUCAAGUCCUUCUUGAAUGGGGCCACGGCCCGUAGAGGGUGCCAGGCCCGUAGAGACCGUUGCGGCUUCCGGUACGAUCCCUCCGUAGAGUCGGGUUGCUUGAGAGUGCAGCCCUAAGUGGGUGGUAAACUCCAUCUAAGGCUAAAUAUGACCACGAGACCGAUAGCGAACAAGUACCGUGAGGGAAAGUUGAAAAGAACUUUGAAGAGAGAGUUCCAAGAGUACGUGAAACCGUUCGGGGGUAAACGUGAGAAACCCGAAAAUGCAUCAACUGGAGAGAUUCAAGUCUAUCCGCACUUCUUCCCAUUCCUAGCCAGAUGAUACUGACCUCUCGCGCGGAGCAAUCCCGCGUCGGGCUGUGCAACAGUUUCCACUCGGUUGAGUUUGGUGGAGUAGUCGGAAGGCCGCACGUCUCUCCCUGUUGGACGUCGCGACCCGUUGGGUGUCGGUCUAAGGCCCAGGUGUGUAGUCUGUCCGUCCGCAGUCUCUGCGAGGCGGGCAGUCCCUUGGUGUGCCCGGCCGACGGCCCGACGGUAUGUAUGCGUGGAGUUGAUUCGCCACCUCUCGGGGUGGGCGUCCGGCCCUCGGCAAGUGGUUUGGUUAGUACGGAUGGCGGACCUUCGGCCCGACUCCGGCUCCUAGCCACUGCUGGUUCGAGUGCGCCUCGGACGGAAUAACGCGUCGACUCCCGUCAGCGGCGCAAAAGCUUCGGGUAAUUUCACGACCCGUCUUGAAACACGGACCAAGGAGUCUAACAUGUGCGCGAGUCAUUGGGUUGACUCUAAACCUAAAGGCGCAAUGAAAGUGAAGGUCCUGCCUAGUGCAGACCGAGGGAAGAUGGAUCCGCGCUUCUGCGCGGUUCCCGCAUUCCCGGGGCGUCUCAUUCUCAUUGCGAGAGGAGGCGCACCCAGAGCGUACACGUUGGGACCCGAAAGAUGGUGAACUAUGCCUGGCCAGGACGAAGUCAGGGGAAACCCUGAUGGAGGUCCGUAGCGAUUCUGACGUGCAAAUCGAUCGUCGGAGCUGGGUAUAGGGGCGAAAGACUAAUCGAACCAUCUAGUAGCUGGUUCCCUCCGAAGUUUCCCUCAGGAUAGCUGGUGCUCGGACGAGUCUCAUCCGGUAAAGCGAAUGAUUAGAGGCCUUGGGGCCGAAACGACCUCAACCUAUUCUCAAACUUUAAAUGGGUAAGAUAUUUGGCUUGCUUAAAUGAAGCCAAACUAUAUAGGAUCAGAGUGCCAAGUGGGCCACUUUUGGUAAGCAGAACUGGCGCUGUGGGAUGAACCAAACGCAGAGUUAAGGCGCCCGAAUAGACGCUCAUGGGAAACCAUGAAAGGCGUUGGUUGCUUAAGACAGCAGGACGGUGGCCAUGGAAGUCGGAAUCCGCUAAGGAGUGUGUAACAACUCACCUGCCGAAGCAACUAGCCCUGAAAAUGGAUGGCGCUGAAGCGUCUUGCCUAUACUCUGCCGUCAGCACGGCAAUGAGGAAUUUUAUUAUUCCGUGAUGCCCUGACGAGUAGGAGGGUCGCGGCGGUGAGCGCAGAAGGGUCUAGGCGUGAGCCUGCCUGGAGCCGCCGUCGGUGCAGAUCUUGGUGGUAGUAGCAAAUACUCCAGCGAGGCCCUGGAGGACUGACGUGGAGAAGGGUUUCGUGUGAACAGCCGUUGCACACGAGUCAGUCGAUCCUAAGCCCUAGGAGAAAUCCGAUGUCGAUGGGGUCCGAAAAUAUGUGAAUGGACCCCACUGGGCGAAAGGGAAUCCGGUUCCUAUUCCGGAACCCGGCAGCGGAACCGUAAUAAGUCGGGCCCCUCGCAAGAGAAGUUCGUCGGGGUAACCCAAAAGGACCCGGAGACGCCGUCGGGAGAUCGGGGAAGAGUUUUCUUUUCUGCAUGAGCGUUCGAGUUCCCUGGAAUCCUCUAGCAGGGAGAUAGGGUUUGGAACGCGAAGAGCACCGCAGUUGCGGCGGUGUCCCGAUCUUCCCCUCGGACCUUG